UACGAACUGUGCGAACGUUAUUCGGAAUCACUGGGCUUACAGGGUGCGUAGGCUGCGAUGCAAGUCAGGUGUGAAAGCCCACGGCUCAACCGUGGAACUGCGCUUGAAACUGCAUUGCUUGAGUGAGCUAGAGGUACACGGAACUUCCGGUGGAGCGGUGAAAUGUGUUGAUAUCGGAAGGAACACCAGAGGCGAAGGCGGUGUACUGGAGCUUGUCUGACGCUGAGGCACGAAAGCCAGGGGAGCAAACGGGAUUAGAUACCCCGGUAGUCCUGGCUGUAAACGAUCAGAACUAGACGGCUGGGGGUUCGCCCUCAUCGGUCGUAGCGAAAGCGUUAAGUUCUGCGCCUGGGGAGUAUGGUCGCAAGGCUG
rnacentral:rRNA from 1 species